rnacentral:rRNA from 1 species
UACGUAGGGUGCGAGCGUUGUCCGGAAUUAUUGGGCGUAAAGAGCUCGUAGGCGGUUUGUCACGUCUGCUGUGAAAUCCCGAGGCUCAACCUCGGGCCUGCAGUGGGUACGGGCAGACUGGAGUGCGGUAGGGGAGAAUGGAAUUCCUGGUGUAGCGGUGGAAUGCGCAGAUAUCAGGAGGAACACCGAUGGCGAAGGCAGUUCGCUGGGACGGUACUGACGCUGAGGCGCGAAAGCGUGGGGAGCGAACAGG